CCCACAGAGCUGUCCCCACCACCGGGAAUUCAUCGGCUCCGUGAAACACAUGCUGUCGGGGCACACAAACGUGAGCCUGCCUGCUUGCUGUCGGCACACCUUAGGCCUCUCUCAAACGUCAGCCCUCCCCUCCCAUCACCAGACGCCUGACAGGUGCUGGCAACAGUGACCCUCGUGUCCUGGCCCGUUGGUAUUCGAGAAGCUGCUGCUGCUGAGCCCUGAAAUAGAAGCAGAACUAAUACUAAUGUCACCCAGCUCAUUUAUAAAGCUUCAGACAAACAGG